UACGUAGGGUGCGAGCGUUAAUCGGAAUUACUGGGCGUAAAGCGUGCGCAGGCGGCUAUUUAAGCUUGCUGUGAAAGCCCCGGGCUUAACCUGGGAACUGCAGUGAGGACUGGAUGGCUGGAGUGUGGCAGAGGGGGGUGGAAUUCCACGUGUAGCAGUGAAAUGCGUAGAGAUGUGGAGGAACACCGAUGGCGAAGGCAGCCCCCUGGGCUAACACUGACGCUCAGGCACGAAGGCGUGGGGAGCAAACAGG
rnacentral:rRNA from 1 species